ACCCCCUGAAAACUUCAUCUUCCUCACACCUCAUCCUCUCACAAGAACACAAUAACCUAAACGACCCAUGGACUCCAGGAUUCUUCUUCACACCCAAAAUCUCCAGCCGUGACAACCCAAUCCCGCUCCAUCUCCGCCAGCUCCUCCCUUCACCACCAAAUCAACAACGACACUCCCCCAUCUCGUUUGCAGUCGCCCAUACACUCAAAGAAGGAACGAACAGAAGCAACUAAGAACGAAGUGUUGCCAUUCUAAAACUUCAAUUGAGAUCUUGUUUUCUUGCUUUGAAUAGACCUAAGUCAGCAGUUUCAGUCCGUAGUCUUUUGCUCCUUGGGUCAUGCUUCCGCUCGAGUUCGUCAGUGUCCGGUCCAUCGAGUUGUUCGUUGAUAUGCCAUCCAAGGUAUCUGUUUGCGGUUUUCUGUUCUGUCGAGACUGCAGACUGCACGUUUGGAGCCGAUUUUCUUCAUUCUAUAAUUAGAGAAAAAUUGCUAAGCAGGUGCAAUUCAUGUAGCGUGGCUUACGAUGUAUUUUAAAUAACCUUGAAAUUUCCUGAAAUAUUAAAAGCGGCUAAAAAGUUAAAAGGGCACGUAGGUUUAAAAUGUGUAAUUAAAUCAGAUAAUUAGGCCAAUUGUUAAUAGUUGAGCGACCGUGCUAGAACCACGGAACCCGAGAGUACCUAACAGUUUUUCUCGGAUUAACAGAAUUUCUUACCCCGAUUUCUGUGUUCGCGGACCGUAAAUAGAGUCAACCUUCCUCGAUUCGGGAUUUUAAACCGGUGACUUGGGACACCGUAAAUUAUCCCAAGUGACGACUCUAAAUAAAUAAAUAAUUUCGUUUCGAUUGUCACUUAAAUUGAAAAAAACUCCCUUAUACCCUUGUCCGGGAUAGUAAAAAGGAGGUGUGACAGCUGUGGCGACUCUGUUGGGGAUAAGUACCCAGAACUUCUGGUUCAGGGUUCAGAAUUCGAGCUUAGACUAACUGUUAUAGUUAGCUUUUAUUUAUUAUCUAAUUUUUAUAUGUUUGAGCCUAAUGUGCUAAUUGUCGCUUUUUUACCGCUUUGAUAUUGGUUGGAUUGUAUAUAAAUUGUUACGAAACUUUCCUCUCUCUGAGUCUUCUAAAUCAUAUGGGAAGUGUGCACUUCGUAUGACUUCUCUUCUGUUAGAGUCAUAUUCCAAUUUUAGAACGAGGUUCGGACAAGUUGCAUAGCCGGUGAAGCUUUUGUAUUCCCGGUAUGCUGCCCCCCUCGGCUCGAGCUGUCCGCUCGGGUAAGCCAAGUCUAGAACAAAUACACCCAGGUUUUAAACCUAGAAUAACUCAACCUCAUGUUGGAUCCCUAAUAGGAAGGUUUGUUUGCAUCAUGUGCAUUUGACCUUGGGCAACACAGGGGUUGGGUCUGUCUAGGACAGAUGUACCCAAAAAUAAAAGACCAUCCUGAUGAAUCCUAAUGUGCUAUAUGUUGCAAUCUUCAAGGGUAAAAGGGGUUAUUUGGCAGACCAAUGAGGUUUGAGGGUAAAUGAGAAAGAAAAGAGGUUGAGGUAUAAAAAUAAAGCAAGUAGGGCUCAGUUAUGUUUUUCUUUCACAUUUUUUUUAAUAAAAAAAAUCCGUAAAGAUUUUGCAUUUUUUCAUCAUUUUCCAAAAAAAAAUCAAAAAAGGGAAAAGAAAAUCCAAAAAGAGUUUACAUGUUUCAUCAUUUUUCAAAACAAAAGACAAAAAUAUUUUUUUCUUUGAAUUAGUUAUUAUUUUUAUUUCUCGCCCGUAUCCAAUCUGCCUGAACUACGCAUACCUGAUUCUUGUCUUUCGGGGCGUGAUACGUAGGCAACCCACAUAGGGUCCGGUCUUCCUAGUGAAUCUUAGGUGCAUGGCUUUGCGGGUCUUAGCCAAAUCUUGCAUUUUUAGCCACAUAGGUUAAUUUUAGAAAAAUAAUCACAAUGAUGUCUUCCAUGUGUCCGACAGGAAAGGUUAUUGUCUCACAUCGCGUUCUAGGUCUUUAACUUUAUUUGGUCAUAAUUUUCUCAUACAUGUGUGGAUCUACUUACCGGAGUUUGGGCAUGUCAGACGCCUUAGGACCACCCAGUCAAGAUCGCUCAUUCAAGAGUUGCUUUAGAAGAAUUUUAUUUUAUUUUAUUAUUUUGUUUUAUGUUUUGAGUAUGUUUUUCCUUUUUAUGUCGUCUUUUACCUUCUAGUUUUGUACAGUAAUGUCGAUUCUUUUGUUAUUGUACUUUCUAUUUUAUAUUUGAAAAGUAUGGUGUAACUCAAAAAUCCAAAAAAAAAAAGAUUUUGUGUUUUAUAUUUCCGUUAGAAAUUUUCUUUAGAAUACUAAUUCUAGAAACGAAAAAAAAUUGUGGUGGUUUUUUCUUUAGGAAAUUAAUAUCUAGAACUCAAAAUAAAAAUUGCUUUUAUACUUCCUCUUAGUAAAUUAAGACUAACAAUUAAAAAAAAAAGGAAUUUUCUUUUAGUACCUCUUUAAAAGCUUUCUUUAAGAUAUUGAUUCCAAAAAUUAAAAAAGAUUUUCUUUUGAGAUUCUUCUUUGGGAAAUUGAUGAAAAAUGACUUAAAAAAAUCUUUUAUUUUUACUAAAACUCUAGGAUAUUGUACAUAGAAGAAAAAGAAAACAACAUACUUUAUCUUUUAUUUAUCUUUAAAGUUUCUUCCUUAGGUAAUCAAAACUGAAAUCCAAAAAUAUUUUUUUUGUUUUGUUCAUUUCUCGUUUCAAAAUCUUUCUUCAGGCAUAUCAAAUGAAAAUUCAAAAUAUUUUUCUUUGGUUUAUUCUUUAGAUUUCCUUCUUAAAAAAAGAGAAUCAGAAUCAAAAAAAUAUUUUUCUCUUAUAGGAUUUUUUUUCUUAAUAAUUUCCCAUAGAGUAUUUGUUUCAAAAAGAAAAAAAGAAAAAAUAUAUGCCUGAUAAGCUUGAGUUUAGAAUAGGUUAUAGAAUAUUAAGUCUAGAAAAUUCAAAAAAAAGAGAUUUUGCGUCUUUUAUUCUCUUUUCUCAUCAGAAUAGUCUUUAAGGUAAUAAAAAAAGAGAAUGUUAGUUUGUUUACUUUGUUCCCGAUCUUUCCGAACUACGCAAAGAUCUGAUUAACGCAGCGUCAUGAUACGUAGGCAACCUACAUAGGGUUCAAUUGAAUCAUUUUUCUUUUUAUUAAAAAAAAAAAAAGAAAAGAAAAAAAAAGAUGAAUUAUGGGAUGUGAGAAAUGAAAGAAAAAAAAGAGAGAUGAAUUAUGGGAUGUGAGAAAUGAAAGAAAAAAAAGAGAGAUGAAUUAUGGGAUGUGAGAAAUGAGGGAAAAUAAAAGAGUGAUAAUUUAAAAUAAAAGGAGGAAAAUGAGCAAGCCAAGAGGUGCUAGAAAAGAAAGAAAAGAGAAGAAUGAAAUGAACAAAAUUGGGAUGAUGCCAAGUGACCAUGUGACCCUCGAAGUCAUUCUUGAACCGUUAAUUGUUGCUAGGUGCAUUGCACGCAAUGUGAUAUUUUUUUAGCUGUUAAAUGCACUAACGCUAACGUGAUGACCUCAUUUUGUUCCUUUUUGUUAUCUUCAUUGAGUAGAAGGGUGGUUGGUUUGUGGUUCUUAAGUAACUCAUCACUACAACACAAGGUCAAAAAGCAAGGUAGCCAUGGCUAGCAAUGACUUGGACACAGGGGUUAUUGAUCCGUCUAAGGGAAUUGUUGAAUCAGAAUCUAAGUUGAAAGAAGAGGUCUUAAGGUUGAAAGGAUAGAUGGCCGAAAUAUACCAAGCCUGAAUUACUGGGCGUCCUCCGCCAUAGUUCCCACUAACUACACUGAAAGCCUUGUCACCAUUCCGCCACUGUCACAAGUCCAGUAUAUCUCCCCACGACCUCUUCACACUCCACCCUUUAGAACCACCUCAUAUCCCGCUCCUUUGACCAGUCAUGUUUUUGUAGCUCAUCCACCUGCUACCUUUACUCAAUCCUCUAGCAAGACUGUGUUCAAAAUCCUCGAUGUCCAACAUUAUGCUCCAGAACCAUUUUCAGGGUCUCGGGUCCAUACUCUUUCGCUCCUUAUUUUGAUCCUCCCGGUGAGACUGCAAAGCCUGCUAAGACAGUGGAGCAAGAUGAGAUAUCCAGAAAGCUGAAAGGGUUUAAGAUGCCAAAGUUUAAUUUGUAUGAUGGGCGUGGAGAUCCAGUAGCCCAUCUAAGAGGUUAUUGCAGUAAAAUGAGAAAUGUUGGCGGGAAAAAUGAGUUGCUGAUGGUGUAUUUCAGAGAGAGCCUGACUGGGGCAACUUUGGAAUGGCAUACUCGUCAAGAUGUCGGUAAGUGGCAUACAUGGGAUGACAUGGCUCAAGAUUUUGUGCGACACUUUCAGUACAAUAUAAACAUUGUCCUAGACCGCUCCUCCCUAUCUCAGAUGGAAAAGAAACCCAAGGAAAGUUUUAGGAAAUUUUGGUUCAGAUGGAACGAACAAGUUGCUCGGGACAGUCCUCCCAUUGAUAGAAAUCUGAGCCCCUCCAACGACAGGAUCCAGCGGGCAUUCUUGCUAAACGCUUCCAGCCUCAAUACUGACCUCAUGAACAUCCUCGAUCUCCACAUAAUUCACCCCAGUAUUAUCCUCCGAACAACGUUCGGUCAUCUGUCUAGCCACUAGGUCACUCCAAAAGGCGAGCACGAGCAUUGCAGAAUCCCCACCAGCCUCCACAAAAUUUUCAAGUGCCCUAUAACCCACAUUCAAGCCAAGGGUGUAGAAGGGAACAAAGGCUGAAAGAUAAUUUUACACCAAUAUGAGAGUCAUGUGCAAGCUUGUUUGAAAAGUUAAAGCAUUCUAGCCUGAUUGAGCCACUCCUCGGCUAUACUCCAGACCCACGUGUGAGAAGCUUUGACCUUGCUAAAGGUGUGAAUACCAUUCCAAUGCCCAGAGGCACAAUGUUGAAGGUUGUCGUGCUUUGAAAAGGGAAAUAGAAAGAAUGAUUCAAGAAGGAAUAAUUGUGGUCCAAGGUAGUAAUACCCCAAGUGUCACACAUAAUCCUCUACAGGUACAUGACAACGCACAAAUUGUUGGGAUGGUUUGCAAUGACGAAGGGUUGGUCAAAGGAUUCAAUAAGCCACUUGGUGAAGACAAUGUGAUUGAAGUUGGUGAAGGUCCUAAUACUAUUGAUGUGGAAAUUAGAAAGACGCUCCUUUCUUGGCUAGCCAGGAAGGAGCCUUGGUGGUUCAUUUUUUUGUCAUUUCUGUUGUCCGGUUUAUUUUAGGGUUGUAAUCCAGAUAUUGUCUUGUGACUCAAACCGUUCUAUCCUUUAUUUGCCUAGUUCAUUUAGUCGUAGUACCCCUUUUAGUGUUAUUUAGGUUUUUCCAAGGUCGUAACCCCGAUAUGUUUUGUUUGUUUUGUUGUUCAAACCCUUUCACCGUCUGUCUAAUGUAAUUAUCUGUUUUCUGUUAUUUCUAGUCAUUUUUGUUCAGUUCUCUUUUCCUUUUAUAGUUCUUUUCCUGUUGGCUCUAGUGACAUGACAUGCAUGCAUAAUUCUAGGUCUGGUCUUAAUAGUUAGUUUAAUCAUGAAGUAAUAAAAUAAUUUUGAAGAUGAUAGGGACAUUUGAGGGAAAUAAGUAAAGGCAUUUUGAAAUCAUUUGAAGCCCGAACUAUGUGAAACUGGGGCAGAUAAUUUGGAAAUUUAAUAGGAUGAUAAGAAUUCGUUAAAGGAGAGUGCUUCCCAGACAAUUUGAAGCAAGCAGUUUUGAGUUCAAGUGCAUCUCAAGUAACAAGUUAAAGCCAAGGGAUUUUGCUCCAAACAGACGGAGGGUAUCCAUUGUGAAGGAGAAAUAACCCAACGAGAGUUCUGUACUUGACAAGGCACUAAAAAAAGUGGAAGGGAUAUCAGUGAUAUCAAUGCCGAAGCUGCAAAAGAAAUGUUGUGCAUGGUCUUCUUUUUCAUUCUCAAGUUGAACGUGUUGUACUUGGCAUUUUCAGGGAUUGGGAGGCCCACUUUCAGCUACCCAAACACUUAUAUCAUUCAAUACCCUUUUGAGCUUGUGCUAAUUUUCUUUGGCCUCCCAUCUUUUGGAAUCAAGUUAGAGUCAUACGAAAAGAAAAAAAAUUCAUGUCCCCAUAGGUUUAUUUUAGAAAGUUCAUUCCAAAAGGAAAAUUCAAAAAAAAGGAGAAAAAAUAGAGAUAAAGAAAAAAAGAGAAAAGAAAAGAAAGAAAAAAGGAAAAAGGCAAAUAGUAACAAAAAGUAGUCUCGUGAACUACAUUUGACCUGAUUCUUGUCCCCACAAGAUACGUAGGCAGCUUUAUGGUUCGAUCAUACCAAAUAAAAUAUUUCCUAAUCCCACGAAGUCAAAAGUGGGGCAGUCUUUCUUAGUAACUCCACCAAAAGAAAAAGGAAAAAGAGAAUCAAAUUCCUUUGCUUUAGAAAAUGGGGCAAGAUUGUUAGAAUGGAUUCCAAAAGUUGUAAAUAAAUUUACCCAGUUGUCUUUGUUAUUUUGAGCCUUUAUGAUAUCCUUUCUUUCCAACCCUGUCCAAAAGCCAUAUUACAGACCAAGACCUCCCAUAUAAUGUUUCAGAGUGCUGAGUUUAGACAUACCAAGAGUACAUGAUGUUUUUACCAUGGUUAAUGCCUUGUCAUCUGCAAAAUCAGAGGAAAUAAGAAGAAAAGAGCAAAAUGAGAGAGUCUUAUUGGUGAAAACCUUCACAGACACCAUAAGGCGAUGGUGAUUUGAGAAAAAGAACAAAAUGAGAGAGGCUUGAUGGUGAAAACCCUUCGGGCACUACAAGUCGAAUAAGGAUUGUGAAUCAGAUUGGAUAAUCGGAGCAUCGAAGCCCAGUUUCACGGUUUAGGGUUAUAACAAGAGUUGAACAUCAGACUUGCUUGAUAGAUUAGGGCACUUAAUCCAAAGGUGCAUGUCAUGGUCAUUAGAGUUGGUAUCCACAUAUGAUAAGUUUCUACUUUGUAGUUUUCUUGUUAGGAAUCAUCUCUUUCCAUUGUCCUUUACUUUGUUCCUUUUGUCUUGUUUACUUCAUCUUCCUGAUUCUGUUUGGUCAGAACAAGUGAGAAAUAACUUCAAAAUUUGCCACCAGCUUUUCAAUUGCACAAAACGGGAUCUGCCUAGCACAAAGUGACAUAAUUCAGGAAAGAACAGCAUGCGCACUGAGUUGGUAACAAUUAACGUGCUUUGGGAUUCAUGUGAGACACAAAGGUUUAAUAUAUGUCAAUGCAUGAGCACAAUGCAACUGAUGAAUGGUAUUGGGUUUGAAUGGAUCAGAGGUAUUUUUCGUGAUUAGGGUGACAGAGAAAGUGGUCAGUCAAUAAACAGGUCAGGUCUUUCGAGAUGAAAUCAAAGUUAUCAUGGGAAGUAAAGGAGCAAUCGCCCUCAAAGUCAAGGUCGAAAACCAACCACCAUGUUUAAACUCACAAGUUUUCUUUGAUUGAAACAGGGGCAGGAAAUUUUGUUUGUUCUAGAGAAACCCUCUGUGAGGAAAGCAGGUGCCAUACAAGCUCGACAGUAAGUUUCUAGUGCCCUCCUGGAUGAAGGGAUUCAGUAAGUUAUGAGACCCNNNNNNNNNNNNNGGAAAGAAGCAAUGUUCAAAGGGAGACAACAAUCAGGAGCCCACCUGGAGAACAAAGGGAAACAGUUCAAGUCUCAAGGAAAACAGUGCAAAUGAUGGUAAUCAGGCACCCACUUGGAGAAUAAGAAGAAGGCAGUUCAAGUUUCGAAGGAAGACAGUUCGAGUAUUGGCAAUUAGGCGCCUACCUAGAGAAUAAGGGAAUUCACUUCCGAAUGCAAUUCAAGUCAGUAAUAAAAGAAGCUCGCUGCAAGAAUGCAAGUCAACAGUCCGAGGUGAUCAACAAAAGUUAGUCACAAUCCAAAAAAAAGGCAAGAAGUGAAUCCAAAUGCAGAUGAAAGAUGUGAGAUGCUCAAGACAUGACUAAAGUCACGAGCAUGGUAUGUCCGAUUUUGAUCCAAAAAGUUGAAGAAGAAUGAAUUAGCACCUGCAACUAGCAAGCGCAAGGUUCAAAUCCAAAGUCUGCAUAAAGAACCAUUCAAGACUCAAUAUCAAGCUUUAGAAGACUUAUAGAUAGGAAUCUUGUAACUCGUAGUUGACAGGCUUAGCUAGUCUUUUUCAUUUUUGAUGUAAUAGCAGGACCGCGGACCGGAACCUCGGUGGAAUGGCACCUCAAUCGGCUCUCCACCUCGGUAUACUCCAUCAUCUCACUCACUCCUGAACUACACGUGGCCUGAUUCCUUUAUAGCCAGGGAUAUGUAGGCAGCUCAAAUACCAGGGCUCGGUCACAUUCCCCUUUUCUCUUAGUUUUAGUCUCUCCAAAUAAGGGUCAAGUCAAAAAACUUGUCUAGUGGUUCUUUGUCUGAAAAUACUUCGUAUUUUCAGUCAAAGAGGGGCAGCUGUAGACAUGUGAUUUUUGACCCUCCCCAAUUUUUUAAUAUUUUAGCAUGUAAAUAUUUAAUUUAGGCAUAGUAUUGUUAUUUCAAUUAAUUUUGACUCUUUUAAUUUAUUUUAUUACAAGAAAAUAAAAACUACAAAAAAAAUAGUUUCAUUAAUGUUUGUAGUCAUUUUUAAUCUUGAAAAAUACCAAAAAUAGUUUUGUUUUAAUGGUCAGUCUUAUUUUAACAGUUAUUUUACUUAAGUAGGAUUAAUUAAUAAAUGAGAUCGUAUUUUUAAUUUCGUUCGCGAGGAAAGAAUAAAUUUGGGCUCAAACAUCCCAUUUUUAGGUCUAAUUUUUGGAUCUAGCCCAAAACUACUAGGCCUAUAUCCCUUAACCUAAAUAUAAUCCUAAAACCCUAAACCUAUAAAAAGAAGCUAACCAAAAAAUGCCUAAGGGAUUUAUCAGUGAAAAUACACACAAAAAAUCAGACCUAGAUGCAUAAGCGAAAUCAGCGCCGUUGAUAACACAAGAACCCCACCCCCUGAAAACUUCAUCUUCCUCACACCUCAUCCUCUCACAAGAACACAAUAACCUAAAUGACCCCUGAACUCCAGGCUUCUUCUUCACACCUAAAUCUUCAGCCGCGGCAACCCAGUCCCGUCCCAUCUCCGCCAACUCCUCCCUUCACCACCAAAUCAACAACGACACUCCCCCCAUCUCGUUUGCAGUUGCCCAUACACUCAUAGAAGGAACGGACAGAAGCAACUGAGAACGAAGUGUUGCCAUUCUAAAACUUCAAUUGAGAUCUUGUUUUCUUGCUUUGAAUAGACCUAAGUCAGAAGUUUCAGUCCAUAGUCUUUUGCUCCUUGGGUCGUUCUUCUGCUCGAGUUUGUCGGUGUCCGAUCCAUCGAGUUGUUCGUUGAUACGCUGUCCGAGGUGUCUAUUUGCGGUUUUCUGUUCUGUCUAGACUGCAGACUCCACGUUUGGAGCUGAUUUUCUUCAUUCUGUAGUUAGAGAAAAAUUGCUAAGCAUGUGCAAUCUUCUACCCUUUGUUUCAUGUUUUGUUGUUGAUGAGAAUAUGAAUCAAGCCUAAGCUGAAUUGGUUCAAGAACUUGUGCGAUUGAUUGAUUCUAUAGUAAAAUGUUUUGUUAAUAACAUUUGCUUUAAGACCGGUUUCAUUUCUGUGUUUGGUUUUGUUUACAUUUAACGUGAAAUCUUUACCGUUGUUUCUCUUGUUGUCUAGUUGACAUUUUUAAUUACCAUCUGUUAGCUUCUUUGUUUUGUGGUGGAAUGAAAGAACUAAGGUAUUGGUUGUGUGUUGGCUAUGUUCUUGGUCAUUUUUUUUAGUAUAAAAGGAUUUCCUUGUCUGUCAGUAUAAGUUUCAAGUUUGUGACUUUUGAAUCCACUCCCAUUCAACUAUGAGACCAGAUCUGAAAAUCUCUUAGUGAUUGUUAACUAGAUUUUUGUUUAGAUGUUUAUGUUUGGAAACUAUUAGAAGAUAAAACCAUUUUACAUGCAUGUUGGCAACUUUAGCGUGGGUUCAG
rnacentral:lncRNA from 1 species